CUUGGACAAACCAAAUAAUUGUGACCCAGACACCAGGUAUGGUGAAGAUGAUAGCCGGUGGCACGGUGACUUUGAAGUGUCAUGUUGAUCAGAUUCUCGCCGUUUGCCACUCAGUGACUUGGAUGAAAGUAGACGCCAGGACUGGAACAAUGAGCACAAGAACUAACGUAAAGAUUAAUACGACCUCUGAGGUAGGGAAACGGGACAGAGUAUGUUCGGCAACCAUCACCAACGCAUUAGUGAGCGACUCUGGCAUGUACUACUGUUCGGCUGUUCACUCCAAGGCGGUCCACACUGGCAACGGAUCCAAUCUAAUUGUCACAGAGAGCAGCACUGAAUCCCCAAACAUCAAAAUCGUCUCAUCAUCAGACAGUGACGACGACUCCGCCGCUCUGCUGUGUUUGGUGUCAGGAGUGGUCCCGUCUCAAGUCCAUGUGUUCUGGCUCAUAGACGGGAGAGAGGACAGUGGACUUACUGAGUCCACCUGGACAGACAACAGUGAUUCAGCCACAGAGUUCACUAGGAACCAGAUUCUAGUCCAGGCAGAGGAGUGGGACAGAGGGGUUCAGUGUACGUGUGUGGUGGAGUUUGAGGGAAAUUCUAUCAACAAAACUGUGCAAAGAAUAGAUCUUGGCGUGCUGUGUUACGUCACAGUGUGGAUAUACAGACUCCUGGGAAUAACUGCCUGGCUUCUGCUGUUGAUAAUGGCUACCACUGUGGCAGCAUGCAGGGGCAAAAAUAGAGGUGUUCAGAGGAAUGGUACCUCAAAGAACAGGGGACGAAGACAUAAUUCAUCAUAAAAAGGUUUUAUAGUUUGUCAUUUGUACAAAGUCAUUUUGGUAGCAUUGACAUGUGUUAAGACCAUUGGGAAAAGUUGUUUAUGUUUUGUUGUUGUUGCUAACUAUUCAAAAAUGAAAGUGUACAUUGGAAAAUAGCUAAUUAGAAUUUCAAAUUGCAGUUAUAUUCUUCUCAUAUGUAACAGUCCUGACCUAUUUAUGUUAGUUUUUAUGUGUUUUUGGUCAGGGCAUGUGUUUUGGGUGGGCAGUCUAUGUUAUCUGUUUCUAUGUUGGUUUCGGUUUGCCUGGUAUGGCUCUUGAUUAGAGGCAGGUGGUUUGCAUUUUCCUCUAAUCAAGAGUCAUAUUUAGGUAGGGCAUUCUCACUGUUUGUUUGUGGGUGAUUGUCUCCUGUGAUGUCUUCGUCGUUGUUAUUCACUUUCGGAGCUGUUUGGCUGUUCGUGUGUUUUGAUGUAACGUUCCUGUUCGUGAGUUUACGUUUGUCUAUGUAAGUUUAUGUUCAGGUUCCGUUUUACGUCGUUUUGUUAUUUUGUAGUUUUGAAAGUGUUUUGUUUAGUUUUCGUGUUGCCAUCUGCAUCGUUGUCAAAUAUAUAAUAAAGAUGGCAUAUUUCCCUGAACCCGCAUUUUGGUUAGA